UCAGCCUCCCAAAGUGCUGGGAUUACAGGUGUGAGCCACCUCACCUGGCCAAAAUGUGAAGUUUAUUAUAUGUCAGUUGCACCUCAGUAAAGAUGUUUUUUGAAAGGAGGAAAGAGGGAGAGAAGGAGGACGGUAGGCGGGUGGGCAGGCAGUCAGGCAGGCACCAUCUAGAAAGCCCUGAUGAAGCCAAUGACUUAACAAACAUCAAUGAAUGCUAAAACAAUUAGAUAAAGGAUAAUAGGGAAUAUUAUAUCAGGCCAUAACCACCUAUAAUCACUAGUCAACCUUAGUAUCAUUAAAAUGAGACAACCAGACAUUAUGUGCUUCCUGAUGUGAUGUGAUGUGAUGUGAAGUAUAAAGCAAUACAUGUAUAGUAUUUUUGUCAAAAAUUUUAAGAUUUUAGCUGAAUCAAAUUGAGUCUUCAGAUCCAACUUCCAAUCUACAGGCAAAACAAGAAAGAGAAAAUCAAGCUAAAAGACGCCAGGAGGAAGCAAUUGACUAAAUCCAGAACACGGAACAUUCUGGGCACUGGGAAGGACAAUUGCUUUUAGGCCUUCCUUAUUUUGAGGCAUUUUUAAUAAAGCUGUAAAAUAAUACGUUUUUAAAGAGAGGGAAAAACUCAUGAGUUCCCACUGAUAUAUCCAAUUCUAAUUUGAAAUUUAAAGAUUUCAAUUCUCUGAUUUUACAUGUGUGUUUCAUUUCCUGUGUGUGAAUUGUUAACACAACCUUAGCUCAAGCCAUCAUGUCCUCCUCCCUAGGAUUCUUCGGUAGUCUCCUAACUGGCCUUCCUAAAUUUACUCAUGCCAUUCUCCGCAGCAAAGAAUGGAUUUUUUUUACACUGUGAUUUUUUAUUUUGAAUUUAACCUACAGUUUAUACAAGAGAUUUAUAAGACAUGAACUUGGAAAACAGAACAAAAUGUAAUUGAGGUAUAAGAGCACAGUAUGUCAUGUUUCAAUAAAUAUAAUUCAAAAUUUUUAAAUGAUCAAAUAGAUGAGCCUUGCGUUUUACUAAACCCAUGUGAAAUAUUUGUUUCUUGCAUGGGAGGUAGAGAAAAACUGUAUUCCUUAAUGCAAUCACC
rnacentral:lncRNA from 1 species